rnacentral:rRNA from 1 species
AUUGAACGCUGGCGGCAGGCCUACCACAUGCAAGUCGAACGAGUGGCGGACGGGUGAGUAAUGUCUGGGAAACUGCCCGAUGGAGGGGGAUAACUACUGGAAACGGUAGCUAAUACCGCAUACCAUCGGAUGUGCCCAGAUGGGAUUAUCUAGUAGGGGGGGUAACGGCUCACCUAGGCGACGAUCCCUAGCUGGUCUGAGAGGAUGACCAGCCACACUGGAACUGAGACACGGUCCAUACUCCUACGGGAGGCAGCAGUGGGGAAUAUUGCACAAUGGGCGCAAGCCUGCUGCAGCCAUGCCGCGUGUAUGAAGAAGGCCUUCGGGUUGUAAAGUCCUUUCAGCGAGGAGGCGUUACUCGCAGAAGAAGCACCGGCUAACUCCGUGCCAGCAGCCGCGGUAAUUC